UGCCAGCAGCCGCGGUAAUACCGGCAGCUCAAGUGGUCGUCGCUUUUAUUGGGCCUAAAACGUCCGUAGCCUGUUUGGUACAUUCGUGGGUAAAUCAACCAGCUCAACUGGUUGAAUUCUGCGAGGACGGUCAGACUUGGGACCGGGAGAGGUGUGGGGUACUCGAGGGGUAGGGGUAAAAUCCUGUCAUCCUUUGAGGACCACCAGUUGCGAAGGCGCCACACUGGAACGGAUCCGACGGUCAGGGACGAAGCCUAGGGGCACGAACCGGAUUAGAUA
rnacentral:rRNA from 1 species